UAUAUCGUUAAUUUGUUAUUAAACCACACACGUAUCGGCACAUGGUCCGGGGUGCCCCUCGGGGUCGGGUCAUGGGAUGCGUGGAGGCUUAACC
rnacentral:sRNA from 1 species